CUUCUCCUACAAAAGAAAACGAAAACAGGCUAAGCUCAUUCAGGCACGAUCUAUACUUUCAAAACUAAGAUUUUAUAACGUAGCAAGAUGAAAGAGGGUGUGUCCCUGCAGUUGUCGUCAGACAGAUGCUACUGAUUAGAUACAAGUUUUCCUCAACAUCAGUCCCUCUGUGGUAGAAAUGUUGGUGGUAAUAACAUUCAGCAUUUAUAUAAUGUGCCUCAUCCAAGGAUCUCAAAUUACUUUAUAAAAUGUGCUAUAUAAGCCUCAGAUGGGGAAACUGAGGCACGGAGAGGCAAACUGACUUCUCCAAAGUAUGUAGAACUCCUGGCUUUCAGUCUGGCAUCCUAACCACUGGACUAAACUGCUUCUCUAAAAGGGACAGUGGACACUUGUUUUGAAAAUAUUCCACAUGCAGUUAUUAUGUGCAGCACUAACUGUUCUGUGCCAUAUGCUUCCAUGUCAUAAUGGAGGAAUUAAUAAAGUAAAAAGCAGUGCAAGUUUAAGCUGAGGGCAGCAGCAGUAACAUAUGGUCUACUAUGUCUACAGACUAAGUUAUACCAGGUAAUCCGUCCCUAUGGCCUUUUGUACACUAGGAUGUAUUGCACGUGUUUUCAGGAAAGGUGAAGCUGUAACAGUGGUGUAGCAGUGGUGUAACAGCUAGAGAUAGAAGUGCUCCAUUGUAUUGCAAAAACCUGCUGAGUAUCGCCAGCUUUGCUUCCUUUGGCCAUGUGGAAAGUGUGACAUCUUGUUCUCUGAAUUCAUGCAGUCAUGACCCACACAGCUGUUCAUUCUCACCACUACUGAUAACCUCUAAAAGAAGAGAGAAACCUCUACAGAGAAUAUGGCUCUGACUCACCGUAGAAGGCCCCAAUCCUACCAUCCGAUUUGCAUGAAUGCACACUUGUAUCAGUGCAGAGCUUCACUGAGGAUCAGGGACCGACAGAAGAAUAGCGAUGCUAGCCUGCCCUUAUUAAUGGUGCAUUACCAUUGGAUGGAGCCCCUAGGACAGCAUCUGGUCACUUAACUCCAGGACCAACUCCCAGACCUACCCCUGAAAAGAUGAGACAAGGUUUGUCUCUCUAAUAUCCUGGGACCAACACAGCUACAACAACACUGCAUACAACCCUGAAAAGAUGUCCUUUCAGAGAAAGCUUGUCUGGUGGUCCUCGCAUCAACAGUCCAAAUAUCCAUUACAGCUCUUAUCUGUUCAGGAGGUUUGAAGUGGGCCCUCAAACAUAGAAAGGCUAGAAGAUGGAGGCAUCAGCUCAACUAUCUUCUGUACUUGCAAGCAGGGUUGACAAAACAAGAAGACUCAGAAGAUAAAUCUGUUUUUUUAUUGCAAGAAGCACUACAAGGCAUGGAAGUUGCUCGUGUACCAGAAGAAUGGAGUAAAUGCUACAGGCUAUAUCCUCAUCUCUUGAACAUCUGCACAUGGAACACAAACCAGUCUGCAAAUCAUUGUGGCCCAGCAAAAUUGAAAGAGAAUCUUCUUCUUCCAGCUAAUUGAAGGUAGCAGGUGUGGCUGUGGAAUGGCUUUCAAGAUCUACAUUCUAUUGAUGUAAUAGAGGAGCAGGUGCCAUGCAGUUUGGCUGACACAUGGAGCUAGCCUAGAGAAGAUCAGAUGGGUAUGCUAAAUGCUCCUCAUGGACAUUGAGGAGUUAGAUGAACUGGCCAUGGUCAAAGAUGGAGACAGUGACGAAGACCAAAGAAAUAGAUCCUCUACCCUCAAGAGCAAAAUAAACCCUAACUUCUAAUUUAUGGAGAUGUGCUAACUACAACAAAGGUGGUACCUCUGCCCAUUCCAUUACCAAUAGCAGACCAAUAAUGAGAUCCAUCUAUAUGACUAGAGUGACACAUCCCCUACAAUAAGCCAGUGGUGUGAGAUGGUAGCCAUUAAAUCUUGAGCCAGCCCAGAAGAGCUAUUGUACACAAAAAUGUUAAAGUAAUCUAGAAUAAGCACGGGCAACCCCAGUGUCACAGGUGGAUGGGAACUCUGAUGAGGCAGAGUUUACACUAUAAGUAUUCUCAUCUUAAACCUAUCCCCAAACUCCCAAAACAGGAUAGAAUAUGUUACAUGAAGAAUGUAACCCCCUAAAAUUUAGAAACAAAAUAAAGAUAAAAAUAGAUACAUAAUGGAGUGAAUUAAUGAAACAUUCUUCAGUACAACAAGUAAAGAAACAAAGAGUUUCACCUGGUAAAAAAUAUUGAGGUGUCUUCAAUAUUUGAAAUUUCUCUUAAAUGUUUGUUUCUAGCAAAUAUCCAACAGAUUUACAUUGCUGAAGUGUUCCAGGUUGACCCACUUAAUUUUAAUAUUCCAAAUGAUGUGCUGUAAUUAUUACAUAAAAUAAAUAUCUUUCUCAUGCGUGAAUAGAGAAAAAUCCUGUGAUAUAUUACAAAAACAGUUACAUCAGCAAAAAUAUAAAUUUAAAAUUAUGGGCAUAUUUCUGUUCUUUCCUGAGAAGAAACAUAAAAAUCAGGCAGCUUCACAUCAAAGCUACAGAAAUGCCUAGGAAACACCAUAAAACUGCAUACAAAUAAAUAAAUAUGACAAACCGUAUACUUGCAGGUAAAACAAGUGUUCAGAGAGCUGUGUAAUAAUAAUUAACAAACUGAUCCUUAUUAACCUGGAAUUUCUGGUAAUCCUCAAAGGCUGUGAAUAUACUUAGAUGAAACAGGAUCUUCCUCAUUAGGCUUGAUAGGUAGACUUGUUUGAAAUAGACUCAGUCAAAAUAAAUUACUGCUUAGGAACUCUGCCUUUGUUAGUGCUGAGGGAAGUAAAAUAACAGUCACAAUAAUAAAAAAUAUUCUCAGUUGCCUCUAUCCUUAAAAACCCUGUUCUUAUUGAGAUGUACAUGUUAACUGAGAUCGUUUAAGCUCAAAAUGACACUGUUGUCAAAUGGCUGAAAUAUAGUUUGUACGCAGGUCUUUGUACAUACAUCUUCUCUUUCAUUGUCACAGAAAGGAGAUGGCAUUUCUCCUCCAGUGCAAAGCCAAAUUCUGCUUGUCUCCAUAUAAAUUCAUAAACAGUUAAAUCUUAUUUUCAUCUUAUUGAUGUUGUCAUUUGUCCUUUGAUAAAUAUUUGUUACUGACUCUACAGGUAUGAAUUUUUUUAA